UAUCUCUGUAGAGUCUGCAUAUCAAUAAGCGGAGGAAAAGAAACUAACAAGGAUUCCCUUAGUAACGGCGAGUGAAGCGGGAAGAGCUCAAAUUUGAGAUCUUCAAGGUUCUACCUUGACGAAUUGUAGUUUAUAGAAGUGUUUUCGGUUAGAUGGAGUAGUCAAAAGUUCUUUGGAAUAGGACAUCAUAGAGGGUGAGGAAUCCCGUAUUUGUACUAUUCUCUCCUAGCGUUGUGAUACACUUUCAACGAGUCGGAUUGUUUGGGAAUGCAGUCCAAAAUGGGUGGUAAAUUUCAUCUAAAGCUAAAUAUUGGCGAGAGACCGAUAGCGAACAAGUACCGUGAGGGAAAGAUGAAAAGAACUUUGAAAAGAGAGUUAAACAGUACGUGAAAUUGUCAAAAGGGAAGCGUUUGACACCAGUGUUGUUUUUCCGAAAAUCAAUUACGAAUGGUUUGAUUUUGAGGAGUUAUGACCUUCAAUCGCUUGCUCCUUUCUUUAUGUACUUUCGUAAUGCACUUUUCGGUUAACAAGUCAACAUCAAUUUCUUUUGUUGUAGAAGGGUAUAGAGGAAGGUGGCUUUACUUUCGGAGUAAAGUGUUUAUAGCCUUGUACCUCUGCAAUCGGAGAGAUUGAGGUCUGCAGCGUAGAUCCUUCGGGGUUAGAUACAUUUGUGCUAAGUUAUAGCUUUUCAUAGACAACUUGUUGACUAUGUUUAGUCUUGUAGCUUACUCGCUUACUGCUAUUUUACCUACGCUUAGGAUGUUGACGCAUGAGAUAUACGC
rnacentral:rRNA from 1 species